rnacentral:rRNA from 1 species
AUUGAACGCUGGCGGCAUGCCUUACACAUGCAAGUCGAACGGCAGCACGGGAGCAAUCCUGGUGGCGAGUGGCGAACGGGUGAGUAAAGUAUCGGAACGUGCCCAGUCGUGGGGGAUAACGUAGCGAAAGUUACGCUAAUACCGCAUACUAUCUAUGGAUGAAAGCGGGGGAUCGCAAGACCUCGCGCGAUUGGAGCGGCCGAUAUCAGAAUAGGUAGUUGGUGGGGUAAAGGCUCACCAAGCCGACGAUCUGUAGCUGGUCUGAGAGGACGACCAGCCACACUGGGACUGAGACACGGCCCAGACUCCUACGGGAGGCAGCAGUGGGGAAUUUUGGACAAUGGGCGAAAGCCUGAUCCAGCCAUGCCGCGUGCAGGAUGAAGGCCUUCGGGUUGUAAACUGCUUUUGUACGGAACGAAAAGGUUUGGGCUAAUAAGCUGAGCUCAUGACGGUACCGUAAGAAUAAGCACCGGCUAACUACGUGCCAGCCGCCGCGGUAA